UACGGAGGAUCCAAGCGUUAUCCGGAUUUAUUGGGUUUAAAGGGUGCGUAGGCGGUUCUCUAAGUCAGGGGUGAAAGACGGCAGCUUAACUGUCGCAGUGCCUUUGAUACUGAAGAACUUGAAUGAACUAGAGGUAGGCGGAAUGUGACAAGUAGCGGUGAAAUGCAUAGAUAUGUCACAGAACACCAAAUGCGAAGGCAGCUUACUAUGGUUUGAUUGACACUGAGGCACGAAAGCGUGGGGAUCAAACAGG
rnacentral:rRNA from 1 species